rnacentral:rRNA from 1 species
UACGUAGGGUGCAAGCGUUAAUCGGAAUUACUGGGCGUAAAGCGUGCGCAGGCGGCUUUGCAAGACAGAUGUGAAAUCCCCGGGCUUAACCUGGGAACUGCAUUUGUGACUGCAUGGCUGGAGUGCGGCAGAGGGGGAUGGAAUUCCGCGUGUAGCAGUGAAAUGCGUAGAGAUGCGGAGGAACACCGAUGGCGAAGGCAGCCCCCCUGGGCUAACACUGACGCUCAGGCACGAAAGCGUGGGGAGCAAACAGGG